rnacentral:rRNA from 1 species
UACGUAGGGUGCAAGCGUUAAUCGGAAUUACUGGGCGUAAAGCGUGCGCAGGCGGUUUUGUAAGACUGUCGUGAAAUCCCCGGGCUCAACCUGGGAAUGGCGAUGGUGACUGCAAGGCUAGAGUUUGGCAGAGGGGGGUAGAAUUCCACGUGUAGCAGUGAAAUGCGUAGAUAUGUGGAGGAACACCGAUGGCGAAGGCAGCCCCCUGGGCUAACACUGACGCUCAGGCACGAAAGCGUGGGGAGCAAACAGG